rnacentral:rRNA from 1 species
GUGCUAUACAUGCAAGUCGAGCGGACAGAAGGGAGCUUGCUCCCGGAUGUUAGCGGCGGACGGGUGAGUAACACGUGGGUAACCUGCCUGUAAGACUGGGAUAACUCCGGGAAACCGGAGCUAAUACCGGAUAGUUCCUUGAACCGCAUGGUUCAAGGAUGAAAGACGGUUUCGGCUGUCACUUACAGAUGGACCCGCGGCGCAUUAGCUAGUUGGUGAGGUAACGGCUCACCAAGGCGACGAUGCGUAGCCGACCUGAGAGGGUGAUCGGCCACACUGGGACUGAGACACGGCCCAGACUCCUACGGGAGGCAGCAGUAGGGAAUCUUCCGCAAUGGACGAAAGUCUGACGGAGCAACGCCGCGUGAGUGAUGAAGGUUUUCGGAUCGUAAAGCUCUGUUGUUAGGGAAGAACAAGUGCAAGAGUAACUGCUUGCACCAUGACGGUACCUAACCAGAAAGCCACGGCUAACUACGUGCCAGCAGCCGCGGUAAUACGUAGGUGGCAAGCGUUGUCCGGAAUUAUUGGGCGUAAAGGGCUCGCAGGCGGUUUCUUAAGUCUGAUGUGAAAGCCCCCGGCUCAACCGGGGAGGGUCAUUGGAAACUGGGAAACUUGAGUGCAGAAGAGGAGAGUGGAAUUCCACGUGUAGCGGUGAAAUGCGUAGAGAUGUGGAGGAACACCAGUGGCGA